UGUCUGGCUUCCUGUGAAGUUCAUGGUGAUAAAUUGAGUGAUUGAACAUUAUUAAGAGGUUGGGAAUCAGGACAUGAAGGUACCAACUGUGAGCACAACUGCUCCCUGCUCAUCCGUUUUCAAAGUGCCCAGUGAAAAAGGAGUCUUCCUGCUUGCAGCUUGCCAGAGAAAUCAUACCAGCCUCUUUCCUGCCUGACAUCCUGGUUCUUCUAGCACUGGUAGGGCAUGGUGGGACGUUCUGGAGCAGACAAACUGGGAUGACUGGAAGGAUGGGAAAAAUGAGGAAGUCACCAGGUGGAAGAUAGUUUCACUGCUCAUAACAUCUUGGUGGGGUUGGGAAAGAUGUGAAAGUGGCAGAUGCAAAGAAUAAAGGAUUGUGCUGAAGAAAUCAACCACAUUCCACGGAGGGAGAAGGUCCAGGGUGGUUCCUGUGUGUCUGGCUCAGAUGAUGUGAGCACAAAAGCCUUAUUAGCAAGGGUAAGUAAUGCAAGUACUGGAGAUGUUGGCAUGGAGCCUGAUGAAGACAGCUGUAGAGAGGUGUUGGGGGGGCUUACAUGAGAAUGAAGACCAUGGAGAGGUCCAGGAUGGAGAAAAGUAUUUCAGAGUCCCUGAAGUGGGGCUAUGUGUGCACAUGAAGAUCCCCUGCAGAUUAGGCUAAAAGGGAAGACAAGGGCAGGAUUAAGGCAUGAGCUGUGAGGGCUACAGCAGACAGAGGCUCUCAGGACCUGAAUGAACCUGAGGUAGCAUCAAGGUUUCAGGGAGAGGAAGCUUGGGAAAUAGCCAGUGCAGGGUUUCUGGAUGAGCAGUUCAUGAAGCUGGAAGGUGAUAAAAGCCAGAUGGAGGGUCUCCAGGAGCAAGUCUAAGGCUGUUCAGAAGUUAAUACAGCCUGUCCAAGGAGCUUAGGAAGGUGAGGAGAGUGGGAACGUAAUUGAAGAGAUUCAGUCAAAGGAAACUUUUAAACAUGUACAAUGACUUGCUUGGUAUGCAGAGAGAAACUCAUCCCUAGUGUAAGCUUAAUGAAAUCAGUAGCUUUGGCUUUAGCUUUGUCUGUUAAUUCCACAUGACGGAGGCCGAAUGAGGGGAGCUGUUUGUUUUGCACAAAGCGAUGCUAUCAAAAGUCUCUGAAUUCUCUUUUACCCAUCAGAAAUUAUAACCUAAAUGGUCUAUUUUUCUCUUCCUUCCCCUCACCCUUCUGCCUGCCCCCUUAGGAGAAAGCUCUCUCUGCCCAUCAUUGGGGUGUCACAUAUGGGCCCUUGUCACAUGUAAUGGGCAGAGCAGUACCUGUGCGUGCUAUCACUGCACAUGUACCUGCUACAGAGAUGGGCCCCUGGGUGGUAGCUUGCCUUCAUCUCACAACCAUCCCCAAGGCGCAAACUGGAUCUGGAUUUGGGUUCUUCACCCUGCUGUGAAAUCACAGGUCCCUCCUUCCCUGGUUCUUCCUGUGCUGGUUCUUAAAUGACCAUGCUCUGUGUAGAGUAUUUUGACUAUGACACCUCCUGGCAUCAAAGGGAGGGGAGGACCACACCAGUGGCAGCAAAGGCUAUUGGAAGAGUCCCUUGGAUCUAAGACUAAAUGAAGCCUAGGACUAUAUAUUGUAACAUUUAAUCUCUAUUUUGGCAUGAUCAGUUGCAGAAUUUGAUGGAUGUGAUUUCUUGCCUGAGACCUGUAAUAAAAGUAGGGCUGAAUUAUUGUGGUUUUUUUUUUUUACAGAAAAUGAGGGGAACUAGGGAAUGCAACCCAAUUUAUUUAGUGUUUAUUCAUCCAGCAGGAUCUGCUACUCUCUGCUGUCUUCGCUCAUACCUAAACAAAGUGAGGAAGCCUCUACGAGAACAUUGGUGGCAAUAAGUACUUUCUUCCCUUGUUUGUCUUUGGGACAGCUCAGUCUCUCACACGGAGCAGCAAUGUUAUUAAAGAAGAUUCAGUAUAAAGCAUGAAAAACCCAAGAUAAUAAUUGUUGAACCAUUACACUGAGGAGUUCCAGCAAGAUUAUUUCAAAGAGAAAAUGAUGCUUGUGCAGGGAGGGUGUCUGGGGACUGGCUGGGAAAGAGGGAAGAAUAGGCUUAAAUACUGCAGCCGCCUUCCUUGUUGUUUCUUACCUAUUAGAUAAGAUGUUGUAUGGCUGUGCAGGUUCAGCCUGACCUGAGCUGCGCACCUUCUACCAGGGUUUGAAACUGUCAGCUAGGAAACACGGCCUGUGAUGGUUGGGGCAUUGCAGGCAUAUGUGUGCUGGGUAAGUGGAAGGCAGGAGGGGUUGUAGGGCAAGAGGGAAUGGAGCAAGGGGUGUAAAGAAGAAGAGAGGGUGGUCUUGUGGCUUGGAUGCUAACUUGGGUCUUGGGGUGGUACCCGCUUGCUCUUGUUGAUGAAGACUUUGUUUAACAGAACCCCUGUUUUGUUUAACAGAAUAAAUAUUGUGAAUAUAAGUAUUUGCAAUAAAUAUCCCUUGAGCAAAAGGAAAGAAAGCACAAGCAGGCAGAAGCCUUGCUACCUCCUUUUCCACACACAUUUGGGCUUCCUCACUUUGAGGAAUCCCACUGUAGUGGGAGGUCAAAGCACAGGAGCCAUGAAGGCUUUGUUAUUUUUCCUUCCUGUGCUUCUUAAGCGGUGAUGCCCAUGAGAUUAGUGU